CCUACGGGAGGCAGCAGUGAGGAAUAUUGGUCAAUGGCCGGAAGGCUGAACCAGCCAUGCCGCGUGAAGGUCAGUGCCCUAUGGGCGUUAAACUUCUUUUGUGCGGGAGCAAUAAUGGUCACGUUUGGCCAGACGAGAGUACCGUACGAAUAAGCAUCGGCUAACUCCGUGCCAGCAGCCGCGGUAAUACGGGGGAUGCAAGCGUUAUCCGGAUUUAUUGGGUUUAAAGGGUGCGUAGGCUGGGAGGUAAGUCAGCGGUGAAAUGCCCCCGCUCAACGGGGUGAAGUGCCAUUGAUACUGCCUGGCUGGAAUGCGGAUGCCGUGGGAGGAAUGUGUGGUGUAGCGGUGAAAUGCAUAGAUAUCACACAGAACACCGAUUGCGAAGGCAUCUCACGAAUCCGCGAUUGACGCUGAUGCACGAAAGCGUGGGUAUCAAACAGGAUUAGAUACCCUAGUAGUC
rnacentral:rRNA from 1 species